rnacentral:sRNA from 1 species
UCCUAAGCAGUGCCAGGUCUAUAGUGCU